rnacentral:rRNA from 1 species
AUUGAACGCUGGCGGCAUGCUUUACACAUGCAAGUCGAACGGCAGCACGGGGGCAACCCUGGUGGCGAGUGGCGAACGGGUGAGUAAUGCAUGGGAACGUGCCCUGUCGUGGGGGAUAACACAUCGAAAGAUGUGCUAAUACCGCAUACGACCUGAGGGUGAAAGCGGGGGACCGUAAGGCCUCGCGCGAUAGGAGCGGCCGAUGUCUGAUUAGCUAGUUGGUGGGGUAAAGGCCUACCAAGGCGACGAUCAGUAGCUGGUCUGAGAGGACGACCAGCCUCACUGGGACGGAGACACGGCCCAGACUCCUACGGGAGGCAGCAGUGGGGAAUUUUGGACAAUGGGGGCAACCCUGAUCCAGCCAUGCCGCGUGCGGGAAGAAGGCCUUCGGGUUGUAAACCGCUUUUGGCAGGAACGAAACGGUGCGGGCGAAUACCCUGUGCUAAUGACGGUACCUGCAGAAUAAGCACCGGCUAACUACGUGCCAGCAGCCGCCGUAACAC